rnacentral:rRNA from 1 species
CCUACGGGGAGCUGCAGUAGGGAAUAUUGCUCAAUGGGGGAAACCCUGAAGCAGCAACGCCGCGUGGAGGAUGAAGGUUUUCGGAUUGUAAACUCCUUUUGUUAGAGAAGAUAAUGACGGUAUCUAACGAAUAAGCACCGGCUAACUCCGUGCCAGCAGCCGCGGGAAUACGGAGGGUGCAAGCGUUACUCGGAAUCACUGGGCGUAAAGAGCGCGUAGGCGGGAUAGCAAGUCAGAUGUGAAAUCCUAUGGCUUAACCAUAGAACUGCAUUUGAAACUGUUAUUCUAGAGUAUGGGAGAGGUAGGUGGAAUUAUUGGUGAAGGGGUAAAAUGCGUAGAGAUAAAGAGGAAUACUCAUUGCGAAGGCGACCUGCUAGAACAUAACUGACGCUGAUGCGCGAAAGCGUGGGGAGCAAACAGGAUUAGAUACCCUAGUAGUC